AAGAAAGCAAUAACAAAAUUAUGUAAAUUAUGUUAUAAAGACACAAUUGCAAAAGACAUUUAUUCGGAUUACUAUUAUUAUAUCAAAAAUAUUACAACAGUUCAAAAAAUAAACCGAAAAUUACAAUGGUUCGUCAGGUAAACUAAAUAUUGCAAUAGUUUAAUGAAACAGUUGCAAAAUGUAUCUCAAUAUUUGUUUUAAUGGUUAAAAAUUAAACAAUAUUAUGAAAAGUUAUACCAAGAGAUACGAUCGUAUAUGUUAAAUAUACCGAAAGUUGCAAUAGUUCAUCAAAUAAACUAAAAGCUACAACGGUUCAUAAAACAAAAUCAAAAGUUGCAAUGAUUUAUCAAAAACAUUCUUUGAUUCUUCAAGAACAAUCUCAUCAAAAUUAUUUCUCACAAUGACCUACACAUCACCGUCGUUUUGCGUUUCAUUUAGGAGCAAGUGAAUUAGUAUUGUAUGAGGGAUGUUAGAUGUGUGUUAAAAUAUGUCGAACGACUUACAUUCUGGUAAUGGAUCUAACUUGUAGAAAAGCAUCAUUUUGUCUACUAAAAUGAAUUGUUACAACCAUUUAGUUGAACUAUUACAACAUUUGAUUUUUGAAUCGUUGCAACUUUUAGUUUAUUUUAUGAAUCGUUGUAAUAUUUAGUUAUCUACAGUUAUGUCUUGUGAUGUAACAUUGUAACUACAUAAAACAAAUUAUGUUUAAUUUUUAAUAGAGUUGUUGUAACCGUUUAACUGUUGUAACAUUUUGUUUAUUUGACCAAUCAUUGUAGCUUUUAGUUUUAUUUUAUAAAUUGUUGCAACCUUUUGUUUAUUUGAUGAAUCAUUGCAGCAUUUGAUGCAUUAAAUAUAUAUGAUCACAUCUCUUGAUAUAAAUUUUCAUA
rnacentral:sRNA from 1 species